rnacentral:tRNA from 1 species
GCAGGAAUGGCGAAACCGGUAGACGCACUUGAUUUAGGCUCAAGAUAUUGGGGGUUCGAAUCCCUCUUCCUGUACAA